rnacentral:rRNA from 1 species
AUUCCAGCUCCAAUAGCGUAUAUUAAAGUUGUUGCAGUUAAAAAGCUCGUAGUUGGAUUUCUGGUGGGAGCGAUCGGUCUGGCGCUUAGCGCGAGUACUUGCAUCGUCUCCGGCCAUCCUUGGGGAGAGUUUGUCUGGCAUUAAGUUGUCGGGCAGAGGAUCCUCAUCGUUUACUGUGAAAAAAUUAGAGUGUUCAAAGCAGGCUUAUGCCGUUGAAUAUAUUAGCAUGGAAUAAUAAGAUAGGACUUUGGUACUAUUUUGUUGGUUUGCGCACCAAAGUAAUGAUUAAUAGGGACAGUUGGGGGUAUUCGUAUUCCGUUGUCAGAGGUGAAAUUCUUGGAUUUACGGAAGACGAACUACUGCGAAAGCAUUUACCAAGGAUGUUUUCAUUG